UUUUAUUUGAGAGUUUGAUCCUGGCUCAGGAUGAACGCUGGCGGCGUGCCUAACACAUGCAAGUUGAGCGAUUUACUUCGGUAAAGAGCGGCGGACGGGUGAGUAACGCGUGGGUAACCUACCCUGUACACACGGAUAACAUACCGAAAGGUAUGCUAAUACGGGAUAAUAUAUUUGAGAGGCAUCUCUUGAAUAUCAAAGGUGAGCCAGUACAGGAUGGACCCGCGUCUGAUUAGCUAGUUGGUAAGGUAACGGCUUACCAAGGCGACGAUCAGUAGCCGACCUGAGAGGGUGAUCGGCCACAUUGGAACUGAGACACGGUCCAAACUCCUACGGGAGGCAGCAGUGGGGAAUAUUGCCCAAUGGGCGAAAGCCUGAUGCAGCAACGCCGCGUGAGUGAUGAAGGCCUUCGGGUCGUA
rnacentral:rRNA from 1 species